GUGUCCUGUAGCGCAGUGGAUAGCGCGUUGGACUUCUAAUCCAAGCCGUGGGUUCGAAUCCACCAGAGACG